UCCUGGAAGAGGUGCCAGGCCUGAGCCAGGUGCGGAAGUCUGCCAGCCAAGCGGGGAGGAAAGGCAUUCUGUGUGUGGGUUGUAGGAGCUUGGGUUAAGAGGAAAGCACUGUAUCCUGGGGCAACUAUAAAUCUUAUACAGAUUAGUGUUACUACAAGAGCAGGGAUACAAGAAAAGAGCGUCUUCAGGUGGACAGGAUAGGUUUCAGAACUUUAUCUGCCAUGAUUUCCACCCCCUGAGGCUAUGGGAGGUGGAGCACAUCCUUUGAAAGAGGGUAGUAAUGGACAGCCCAUAUCAAAGUUGUGUGAGACAGUGCUGGAGCAAAGUUUUUGUCUGAGGAACACAUCAUCUGUGGCCUAGAAGUAAUGUUGCUAGAACCCUAUAAAGCCUCAUCAAUGAACAUUUGCCUUUCUUUUACCUAGUUGUAUAUGUAAUCUCCAAUAUUUAAAAACACACUUCCUACUAAUUUGUUCAUCUCAUUAAAUAGUACUGGUUUUAACCACAAUUCCCAUCUCCUUUUCCAUGAAAAAAAUAAAAGAAAAAAAAAAUAUGAACCAGGAAAUCUUUUAAAGAAAUUAAGAAGACAAAGAUAAAACCAAAAGUUUUCUAUUGGAGCUGCCUUAAAUUUUAACAGACUUAAAAGAGAGCUUCAUUAAUAUUAAUAAUCAAGUUUGUAACAUAUAUACAGUAAGAAAAGGUUAAAUGUUACAUUACACAGAUUUUCCACAGAUACUAGGAGAGUCGCCGUGAUUCAAUUUUGUCACAACAAAGUGAUUUCAAAGUGGUCUUUUCUGAGUUUUCUUGGAUGCUUGCAACUGGAACAUUUGGGGCUGAUGAGAGAGGAAGAGAGAACCAUGGAUGAGAGUAGUAUCAACAUCCACAGGCUGCCUCCUGCACGCCCCCUACUGGGGAUCAAGCCCACAACUCAGCAUGUGACGACCAGGAAUCUAAUUAUGGACCUCUUGAUUUGGAGCCCAAUCACUCAAAUUAUAAAGACAAGAGGAGCACACAGCUUCCAUAACCUUGAUUCACUGUCUUCACAGCAAUAAAGGGCAAGAAGCAAUAGCAAGCUCCAAAGCUGUAAUUCCACCCCACGAGAGGUAAAAAAUGAGGAAACUGGGCUGGUCAAAGGUGGUGGAUACUUUUCAUUCCUCCUAGUUUUAAAAGGCAAGUAAGUAGCCUUUAAAUGAACUCUUUGCCUUAACAAGGAAAACUGUACAUUAUACUUAAAGCCCGCGCUCCCUUGUAGCUAGUUCCAGAACAAAAGGUGUGUGUUCUGUAUGAUGAGACAGAGAAAACAUGGUUGAGGUGUGGCUUUGUGAAACUAUAAACAUCUCAGUCAUGUAAA